rnacentral:rRNA from 1 species
AGUGAACGCUGGCGGUAGGCCUAACACAUGCAAGUCGAACGGCAGCACAGUAAGAGCUUGCUCUUACGGGUGGCGAGUGGCGGACGGGUGAGGAAUACAUCGGAAUCUACUUUUUCGUGGGGGAUAACGUAGGGAAACUUACGCUAAUAUCGCAUACGACCUACGGGUGAAAGCAGGGGAUCUUCGGACCUUGCGCGAUUGAAUGAGCCGAUGUCGGAUUAGUUAGUUGGCGGGGUAAAGGCCCACCAAGGCGACGAUCCGUAGCUGGUCUGAGAGGAUGAUCAGCCACACUGGAACUGAGACACGGUCCAGACUCCUACGGGAGGCAGCAGUGGGGAAUAUUGGACAAUGGGCGCAAGCCUGAUCCAGCCAUACCGCGUGGGUGAAGAAGGCCUUCGGGUUGUAAAGCCCUUUUGUUGGGAAAGAAAAGCAGCAGGUUAAUACCCCGCUGUUCUGACGGUACCCAAAGAAUAAGCACCGGCUAACUUCGUG